ACUCUGACACAAAGAAUGUCUUCAUCGUAGAGGGGUGGAGGGUAGCGGUUGUUGAAGGGGGUGUCUUUUGAAAACCAAGAGCAGGAUCCAUCUGUGCUUUUGUUGGCUCUAUCGCAGUUGCAUGAAGGCCUGCAAUUACCCAACUGAAUCCGCCUCCAGCCUAGGUAGUUGAUGGUGCUUUUGACUUCCAUUAGAUCAUCUGAAAGAUACCCUUGUCACUGGAUUUCUUACUUCUUCCAGUAGAACUUUACAAAAACUGCCUACAAAGGCAGAGCUGUAUAUGUGCAAUCUACUGGUGCUGUUCCAAUCAGAAGACAACACGUCUUGCUGAUGAUUCAUGCAAUAGAGGAACUAAGAAGAAUCCUUUGCCUCCUUCCCCUCAGUUACUUUUGAGACCACAAAAAGUCUGCAUUAUGCAAGGUAAAAAUGACCUAUUAAAAGCACUGGAGUUAGAAGAAUUCUACCAUUUUUCAAACCAUGAAUGCACAAUUUUUUGUCAUAUGAAAUUAUGCACUGAAAGGAAACUCAUUUUUAAGAUUAUGAGAAAGACAACUUUUUAAUUUUGAAAGCCAGUAAAAUGGGAUUUCCUUAAAAGAUCUAUGCAGUGUGGGGAAGAAUUAUGUGAUUAGCUGUUUGUUUUGUAUCAUCAUUCCUUUGCCAGCUCCACAAAAUAAUCUUUAAAAAUAAGUGCGUAGUAAUAAAUAGGAAUGGAAAUGAUUUUAGAUUUUUUUUUUUUUUUUGGAAGUGUUCAAAGGCACCUCAAAGGAUGUGGCAUUUCCUCUGUUUAGGAAGCUCUUUAUCCUGAAACUCUCGAUGGAGACAAUAAGAAGAAAAUAGAAAGAAAGAUCUCAGCACAACAAAACUCAAAAGAUAGGACAUUUAGAACUUCUCAUGUACAACUGAAACCAGAUCUGGAAAUUUUAGUUACAGGUGUAUAUAUGUAAUACAUUUAUAAAGCAGUAACUCAGAAUCUCUAGUCUACAGUAUAUCUUCAUCUAUAUUACCCUUGAGACUGAGUUUUUGUUUGGCCGCAAAUGGAAUUUUAACUUUGCAGAGGGCUUUCAGUUAGCAGAUAUUCAGGGUGGUAUCAAGAAUCUACACAUCAACUAGAUUGUAGAAAGCUGAGGAGAGUCUAAAAGAAUGGAGGGAGGUCUGUCAUUGCUUGCCUCCAGUCUUGGAUUCAUAAACAUCAUCAUUAAGCAUCAUUCCUCCCUUGCUGGGUGACCAUCCACCAGCCAGUCAUCCCAGCUCAAUCCUGGAGCUUCAUCUGUGAAAAAGAAUAAUAUGUUUGUUUUACCACAGUGAUGUGGGGCAUGGAGCUGGCAUAUUUUUUGAGCCACUUACCAUACUGCAAGAAUCUAGGCUGAAUAAAUAAUAACUGGUUUUGUUGG
rnacentral:lncRNA from 1 species